GCGCCCGUAGCUCAGCUGGAUAGAGCGCCGGACUUCGAAUCCGUAGGCCGGGGGUUCGAGCCCCUCCGGGCGCGCCA
rnacentral:tRNA from 1 species